AGUCCAGCUGCAGCUAAGGUA
rnacentral:misc_RNA from 1 species